rnacentral:rRNA from 1 species
GUAGGUGGCAAUCGUUGUCCGGAAUUAUUGGGCGUAAAGCGCGCGCAGGCGGUCCUUUAAGUCUGAUGUGAAAGCCCACGGCUCAACCGUGGAGGGUCAUUGGAAACUGGGGGACUUGAGUACAGAAGAGGAAAGCGGAAUUCCAAGUGUAGCGGUGAAAUGCGUAGAGAUUUGGAGGAACACCAGUGGCGAAGGCGGCUUUCUGGUCUGUAACUGACGCUGAGGCGCGAAAGCGUGGGGAGCAAACAGGAUUAGAUACCCUGGUAGUCCACGCCGUAAACGAUGAGUGCUAAGUGUUAGGGGGUUUCCCGCCCCCCUUAGUGCUGCAGCUAACGCAUUAAGCACUCCGCCUGGGGAGUACGGCCGCAAGGCUG